CUUCACCGAGCCCAGCAGUAGCGGGCUCCCGGGGUCGCGGUCCUGGCCGUAGGCGGCGAGCAGGGCCUGCGCCUC
rnacentral:antisense_RNA from 1 species